rnacentral:rRNA from 1 species
AUUGAACGCUGGCGGCAGGCCUAACACAUGCAAGUCGAGCGGAUCGGCGGACGGGUGAGUAAUGCCUAGUAAUCUGCCUGGUAGUGGGGGCUAACGUCCGGAAACGGGCGCUAAUACCGCAUGCUAUCAGCUGAGCCCAGGUCGGAGUAGCGAGUUGGUGGGGUAAAGGCCUACCAAGGCGACGCUCCGUAACUGGUCUGAGAGGAUGAUCAGUCACACUGGAACUGAGACACGGACCAGACGCCUACGGUAGGCAGCAGUGGGGAAUAUAGGACAAUGGGCGAAAGCCUGAUCCAGCCAUGCCGCGUGUGUGAAGAAGGUCUUCGGAUUGUAAAGCACUUAAAGUUGGGAGGCGUUACCAACAGAAUAAGCACCGGCUAACUUCGUGCCAGCAGCCGCGGUAAUUC